UUUAUAAAUUAUGUGUAUGAUG
rnacentral:snRNA from 1 species